UACGGAGGGUGCAAGCGUUAUCCGGAUUCACUGGGUUUAAAGGGAGCGUAGGAGGGCAGGUAAGUCAGUGGUGAAAUCUUCGAGCUUAACUCGGAAACUGCCGUUGAUACUAUCUGUCUUGAAUACCGUGGAGAUGAGCGGAAUAUGUCAUGUAGCGGUGAAAUGCUUAGAUAUGACAUAGAACACCAAUUGCGAAGGCAGCUCGUUACACGAAUAUUGACUCUGAGGCUCUAAAGCGUGGGGAUCAAACAGG
rnacentral:rRNA from 1 species